rnacentral:rRNA from 1 species
UACGUAGGGUGCGAGCGUUGUCCGGAAUUAUUGGGCGUAAAGGGCUCGUAGGCGGUCUGUCGCGUCGGGAGUGAAAACUCAGGGCUUAACCCUGAGCCUGCUUCCGAUACGGGCAGACUAGAGGUAUGCAGGGGAGAACGGAAUUCCUGGUGUAGCGGUGGAAUGCGCAGAUAUCAGGAAGAACACCGGUGGCGAAGGCGGGUCUCUGGGCCGAUACUGACGCUGAGGAGCGAAAGCGUGGGGAGCAAACAGG